UGGACAGAUUAUUGUAUUCGACUGUAUUUGACUGUUCACGGCGUGAAACAGGGGAUUACACUGUUUUUAAACGGAAAGUAAAUCAAUUAACAUAAUAGACUCCU
rnacentral:pre_miRNA from 1 species